UCAUAAUGUAGUUUUUUAAGAUUUUCGUCUAGGGGAGAUUUUCUCCCAAUAGUUUUAAUAUUUUCUUUAAUAUUAGUUUUCAUGUGUAGGCCAAUUGGCCAAAUUAUAUCAAUAUAUUAUGUUUUAGUAUAUUUUUAUUUGUCAUCUGAAUUUCACCGUCUUGGUUUGCAACUAAUAGCUUCCGCAUGAUGCCCUCUCGAUUUCGAACCCAACAAGUGAUAUCAAAGCUUACGGUUCAACGGUCCAAUGGUGUGGUGAGACGAGAUUAAACAGGUUCAAAGCGGUUUCAAAAUCACGCUACAACAAUUUGGGCGAUAAUAAAGAUUUUUGUCGAACUACAUGUGGAGAACAAGUUUCAACCAUAUUUUCAACACUCCUGCU
rnacentral:lncRNA from 1 species